UACGUAGGUGGCAAGCGUUAUCCGGAAUUAUUGGGUUUAAAGGGUGCGUAGGCGGACUGUCAAGUCAGCGGUAAAAUUGAGAGGCUCAACCUCUUCCCGCCGUUGAAACUGGUGGUCUUGAGUGGAUGAGAAGUACGCGGAAUGCGUGGUGUAGCGGUGAAAUGCAUAGAUAUCACGCAGAACUCCGAUUGCGAAGGCAGCGUACCGGCAUCCAACUGACGCUGAGGCACGAAAGCGUGGGGAUCAAACAGG
rnacentral:rRNA from 1 species